AUUGAACGCUGGCGGCAGGCCUAACACAUGCAAGUUGAGCGCUGAAGGUUGGUACUUGUACCGACUGGAUGAGCAGCGAACGGGUGAGUAACGCGUGAGGAAUCUGCCUUUGAGCGGGGGACAACAUUUGGAAACGAAUGCUAAUACCGCAUAACAACUUUAAACACAAGUUUUAAGAUUGAAAGAUGCAAUUGCAUCACUCAAAGAUGAUCCCGCGUUGUAUUAGCUAGUUGGAGAGGUAAAGGCUCACCAAGGCGAUGAUACAUAGCCGACCUGGGAGGGUGACCGGCCACAUUGGGACUAAGACACGGCCCAAACUCCUACGGGAGGCAGCAGUAGGGAAUCUUCGGCAAUGGACGAAAGUCUAACCGAGCAACGCCGCGUGAGUGAAGAAGGUUUUCGGAUCGUAAAACUCUGUUGGUAGAGAAGAACGUUGGUGAGAGUGGAAAGCUCAUCAAGUGACGGUAACUACCCAGAAAGGGACGGCUAACUACGUGCCAGCCGCCGCUGUAA
rnacentral:rRNA from 1 species